UGGGGAAUCUUCCGCAAUGGACGAAAGUCUGACGGAGCAACGCCGCGUGAGUGAAGACGGCCUUCGGGUUGUAAAGCUCUGUGAUCCGGGACGAAAGAGCCUGAGGUAAAUAGCCUAAGGAAGUGACGGUACCGGAAAAGCAAGCCACGGCUAACUACGUGCCAGCAGCCGCGGUAAUACGUAGGUGGCAAGCGUUGUCCGGAAUUAUUGGGCGUAAAGCGCGCGCAGGCGGCUUCCUAAGUCCAUCUUAAAAGUGCGGGGCUUAACCCCGUGAUGGGAUAGAAACUGGGAAGCUGGAGUUUCGGAGAGGAAAGUGGAAUUCCUAGUGUAGCGGUGAAAUGCGUAGAGAUUAGGAAGAACACCGGUGGCGAAGGCGACUUUCUGGACGAAAACUGACGCUGAGGCGCGAAAGCGUGGGGAGCAAACAGG
rnacentral:rRNA from 1 species